AACUCAAAAUUUGGGGAAAUUUUUGAUUUUCAAAUUUCGGUAAAAAUGUGUAGAUCUUCUCAAGACCUUUCGAAUGAUGUGCUUUUUAAUUCAUAUAAUUACGUAAUUGUUACGUAAUACACCAAUAUGAAAAUGGCGUAGGCAGCCAAAUAUCAAAAGUCUUCCCAGCAGAAGGUCGUGAACGCGCGCGUGACGUAAUUUAUACGCGGCGGACGGUUGCCAUUGGACUUUUGUAAUCUGCUGUGACUCCCGAAUUUGAUCAACAUGGACCUAACAAGUGACAUUCUUGUCGAAUGGGAAGAUGGGAGCAAAAUGUGGUUGUCAUUGGAGAAAUAAAGUCCAAUGAUCAAUUCAAGACCAAAGAUGGGAACUCAAGUCAGCAUGCCAAGGGGAAGGUGACAUGGCAUGGGGUUGUGUUGACUAUUGAUGACAGUGUUGCCACUUCCACCUCUGAUGAUGAUGAGGAGGAGGAAAUGGAAAGGAGCAGAUCAGCCAGCUAUCACUGUAUUCAGAUGUUGCAAGUACUCCUAGCCCAACACUUCCCUGAAGAUGAACAUCACCGGAGUUCCCAGUGACACCCUCAUCAAUAUAGAUGGAUUUCUGGUUAACACCAGCAGAGCAGUUUCUCCUGGCAGCUCAUCUCAGCUUUACACUGCUGUUACCAUUGUCACAUAAUCUCAUCUUUGCAAUGAAAAGCCAAUGGAGCUUGAUUAUGACGAGAAGAGCAAGGCAAGGAUAAAGGGCUGCCCAGCCUCGGAAAUGGCAGUAGAAUAUCCAGAAGAUUAAACAGAUCUGUGCCUACCAGUUGUGAAAUGGAAAUGCACUUGAUGGAAGCAAGAUAGGUGAUCCAUGACAGGAUUCUUGUAGGCUAAUAGUAUAAAAUGCAGGUUUUAAAAGAGUGAUCAAGGACCUUUGACCUUUCAUCCAUUAUAUUCCCACUUGAAAAGGGCAUUCAAAAGAUAUUCAAGUAGUACGAAUAUGGUUAUACUACCUCAAAGUUGUAGUUAAUUAUUGACAGAACAUAGUGGUUUAAUGGAGAGUCCAUUGACCUUUGAACUUUCACCUUGAUCAUAUUUAAUACUUUAACUUGGCACAGUCUGCACAUGCUUUCAAGAGAUGCAAAUGUGAUAUGAAUUGGUGAUUUUACCUGAAUGUUGUACAAAUACCCCAAAAUAAUAUGUGAAGGGACUGAGUCCUAAGUACAUGUUAUAGACGGGAGUGUGUAUCGUUAAGUCCUGUCGGAGCAACGGAUAAAAAGAAAUUCCUCAAUAAAGGAAUUUUUUGUGUUUCAAUCAUUCGGCCUAAAAUAUUUAUUACCUCUAGAGAACUACAUGUAUGAAGGUUUUGGAAGCUGGUAUUGUUGCUAUUGGUACUGCUACAUAAUUAGAUGUUUCCUGGGAGUGUCGCUGUUUGCUUUCUUUACAGUAAAUUUUUGAAGUCAUGUUCAGAGGAAAUACAACUUACCCUUCUCUUUUUUUUUUACCUGAACUACCGUGCAAAUUCAUGAGUAAGAUUGAUAAUUUGACAAGUCCACACUUUCACUCUACAAUAUGUAAUAAUCAGGUUCAUGAAAUAUAUUUGUUGACAAGGUGCUUGUGAAGUAUUUGGAAUCAUAAUUAUUUAUUUGAGUAAUAUUUACUGAAAUAUAAAUCUGAAGUUGAUAGUAUCUUAUGAUUAGGUUGUCUAUUGUAUGAGUUAAAUUUUGUUAAUGAAAUAGAAGAGGAAUUAUAAAUAUUCGUGAAAUGUUAACAGGCAGGAGUAUAAAUGUCUCAUGUAAGAAUAGUCAUUCAAUUCACAGAAGACAAAUUUCUUCAAUGUCUUCCGUAUAUUUCAUUUUUUCCCAUUCUGCAGAAAUGCAUGUAUGAUAAUCAAUAAUUGUGGAGAACUGGGUACUUGUUUUCUCUCUUUGUUUUCAAGAGCGAAGGAAGUCUUGUAAGAUUUGUUUAAAGAGACAAAACAUAUCUGGUUGAUGUAAAGGUAUUGUGUAGAAAUAUUCUAGGACACACCAGUAAGGAUAUUGAGCUCAGUGUUUAUGAAAUCAUAAACAAUAUAUCCAGCUCAUAGAAGUGCUACCUUGAGAACCGAGUGUUUGUUUCAUGCCUUGAAUCUACAUUUGCUCAAGAUCUUAAAGUGUAAUUGUCAGAGCUAUUUACUAAUGAGAAAAUAUCAUACCGGUUAUGUUCCUUUCCAUAAAUGAAGGACUAUGCAAGACUUGUAAAUUUGCAUUUUGUGCAUAUCUAACAGGAUUUUCCUUCUGUCUUUACGGUUUCACCUGUUUACUCGUCUAAAAGCUAACACUAUUUGCAUGUACAUUUUCCUGAAAAAUUAGGAGAGAUUGAUUUGUGAAUAUGAGGUGACUGUGAUCCAUAAGCAUGAGGUGAAAACGAAUUGUAAAUAAGAGCAGAAACAUUACAGAAAACAGUUAUCAUAAUGUUAAAAUGAAUGGAUUUACAGAAUUUCUUUACUUCAUU
rnacentral:lncRNA from 1 species